GAAAGUAAGCAAGGGCAGACGGUGGAUGCCUUGGCUCUCGGAGGCGACGAAGGACGUGAUAAGCUGCGAAAAGCCCGGGGGAGGCGCAAAUAGCCGUUGAUCCCGGGAUAUCCGAAUGGGGCAACCCGGCAGGCUGAAGGCCUGUCAUCCCGAAAGGGAGGCGAACGUGGGGAACUGAAACAUCUAAGUACCCAUAGGAGGAGAAAAUAAACAAUGAUUCCGUAAGUAGUGGCGAGCGAACACGGAAGAGCCCAAACCCAUGUCGUCUAGGCGACACGGGGGUUGUAGGACCACGACGUGGCAAGAAGGAAGGGAAAUGGAACGCCUUGGAAAAGUCGGCCAUAGACGGUGAAAGCCCGGUACAUGACUCCCUUACGAAGCCUAGUGGUAUCCUGAGUAGCGCGGGGCACGAGAAAUCUUGCGUGAAGCAGCGGGGCCCAUCCCGUAAGGCUAAAUACUCCCGAGAGACCGAUAGCGAACCAGUACCGUGAGGGAAAGGUGAAAAGAACCCCGAGCAGGGGAGUGAAAUAGACCCUGAACCCGUCUGCCUACAAGCGGUCGGAGCGUCGUAAUGACGUGACGGCGUGCCUUUUGCAUAAUGAACCUACGAGUUACCUUCCCCGGCAAGGUUAAGUACCUAAGGUACGGAGCCGAAGCGAAAGCGAGUCUGAACAGGGCGCCAAGUCGGGGGGGGUAGACGCGAAACCGAGUGAUCUACCCUUGGCCAGGUUGAAGGUUGGGUAACACCAACUGGAGGACCGGAUGGGUAAGCGUUGAAAAGCUUUCCAAUGAGCUGAGGGUAGGGGUGAAAGGCUAAUCAAACUCGGAGAUAGCUCGUACUCCCCGAAAUGCAUUUAGGUGCAGCCUCUUUAUAGUAUAUCGUGAGGUAGAGCGACUGAUUGGAUGCGAGGGCUUCACCGCCUAUCAAGUCCAGAUAAACUCCGAAUGCGCGAUAUAUAUUUACAGGGAGUGAGGGCGCGGGUGCUAAGGUCCGUGUCCGAGAGGAGAAGAAUCCAGACCACCGGCUAAGGCCCCCAAAUGAUCGUUAAGUUGAACUAACGAGGUCGGAUCGCAGAGACAGCUAGGAUGUUGGCUUGGAAGCAGCCAUUCAUUUAAAGAGUGCGUAACAGCUCACUAGUCGAGCGAUCUGGCGUGGAUAAUAAUCGGGCAUAAACGAUCUGCCGAAGCCGUGGAUGUCGCAAGACAUGGUAGGGGAGCAUUCCAUGCCGCGUCGAAGAUGAGGGAUGACCCUUGUUGGAGCGCAUGGAAAAGCAAAUGUAGGUAUGAGUAACGAUAAGGGGGGCGAGAAACCCCCCCGCCGAAAGACCAAGGUUUCCUGAUCAACGCUAAUCGGAUCAGGGUGAGUCGGGACCUAAGGCAAAGCCGAACGGCGCCGCCGAUGGAAGAAUGGGUUAAUAUUCCCAUACUGCCUCAUGGAGUGACGUGGAGACGGAGAAGUGACAGUCCUGCCGGCUGACGGAAUAGCCGGUUGAAGGGUGUAGAUAUUGAUUCCCGUAGGCAAAUCCGCGGGGAGAGUCGAACCUGAGAGUAUACGGAGCGCUUGCGCAACGUAAUAUGGACGUAACCAUGCUCCCGAGAAAAUCCGCUAAACUUAUCCAUGCGGCACCCGUACCGUAAACGGACACACGUGGUCGGGUUGAGAAUACUGAGGCGCUCGAGUGAUUCACGGUUAAGGAACUAGGCAAAUUGACCCUGUAACUUCGGGAUAAAGGGUCCUCGUCGUAAGGCGAGGCGCAGAGAAUAGGUCCAGGCAACUGUUUAACAAAAACACAUGGCUGUGCUAAAUGGAAACAUGAUGUAUACAGCCUGACACCUGCCCGGUGCUGGAAGGUUAAGAGGAGAUGUCAUCGCAAGAGAAGCGUUGAAUUGAAGCCCCAGUAAACGGCGGCCGUAACUAUAACGGUCCUAAGGUAGCGAAAUUCCUUGUCGGGUAAGUUCCGACCUGCACGAAUGGUGUAAUGAUCUGGACACUGUCUCAACCGUGA
rnacentral:rRNA from 1 species